rnacentral:lncRNA from 1 species
GGUACUCAGUAUUGUAAAGAGACUCUGCUGAGCCAUCAGGACUGCAAAAAUGACAAAAAAGUUACUUGGGAAGUUGUGGAUGGAUGGCAAGUUUAUAUAAAUAUCUUUGUGGGUGCAUAUAAAUAUUCUGGGGAGGCAAUUCCAGCUCUGCUAUUUUCACAAGCUCAACUCUAUUUUCUGAGCUCUAUGUAUGUUUACUUACAUACAAUUGUACAUUUUCUUCUGUUUAUAUACGCUUGGAUAUUCUGUGUCUAUAAAAGGAGACUUAUGUUCCUUAUACGUACUUCCUGUAGCUCAUCUAAUGCUAGUUUAAAAUUAAAAGAAGAUUCUAUAGUAAAAGUAAUGCAAAAUUACUGAAGAAAGCUUAUAAAAUAUAGAUAUGUGAAAAGUAAAUAAAAACCUGUAUCUUACCAUGGCUUUAUUGAGUGUUAUAGUCAUAAAUAUGUAUAUAUAUCACAAAUAAAUAUAAAAAUAUUAUAGAAAUUAGGUUAUACAUUAGUCUUANNNNNNNNNNNACAGCCUAGUCAGACACAGUUUCUAUUGCUACACAAUUCACUUAUAUGCCUUUUCUUUUUAACAUAAGCACAUAAUCCUCAUUUUCAGAUUUAUCAUUAUGAGAUAAGCUACCUGGUUUGGACCCCUGGAAAAAGAACAUUUAAAUGAUACCACUGUAGUCACCUGCUGGGUCUGAUUGCAUACAUAUGGGAAUUCGUAAAGAGGACGCAUCUCCAGAUGGCCUCAUGUUCCUUCCUUAAAUCGUAUAGGAAGUUAAGGUCUAGAGCUGACAGGCAUAAUUGCUGUGAUGUUCAGUCUCAGAUGAAAUCAAUGUGGAAAAGAGAAAGAAAACAAUAGCCCUGACAGCUUUCGCAGUCUGCAAGCUUUGCUGUAUGUAAUGUGCUGUUCAGUUCCAGCCAAAAGUUGAGGAAGGAAGGAAGUGCUUGAGUGGCUGCACUAGAGAGGGCCUGGUUGCCUUUCAGGAGAGCCUUGUUUUUACUUUGUGCUCUGAAACCCUGAGAGCCCAGCACAGUGCUGUCUCCCUCACUGGUGCCAGAAGGUGCUGAGAACUGCCUGCCCAGAAAUGCCAACUGGAAGUCAGAACAGUGUCAACUGCAGCCCUCUUACCAGUUACUUGAUGAGCACAUGUGCACGCAUAUGUGUGGGUAUUCUUGCAUGGAUGAAUGCAUGUUCACACAUGUUCCAUGCAUGCUGAGUUUUCUGGUUAGUGUAGUUCCAUCAAAACCUGGUCACAGGAACUUGGGUCAGUGUUUUAGGCUUGAUGCAUCUCAGACAGUGUGUGGUCUCUGAAUACAGGUACCCAGCCUGACUACAGUGAAGGCAGCUCCAUUACAUUCAGCAGUGUCUCAGUUAAAGCAGAAUAGAAGGGUUUCAGCAAAGAGAAAGAAUCGGGUUGUGCUGCUGGUUUAGUCUGACUGUGAAUGGAGAAAUAGUGAAGCAAUUGGGGGCUCCUACCUGCUAUAACAUUGUGGGAAUCUCCCAAAACUAUGAAGCAAACUUAGAUUUGGCACGUUUGCUUCAUGGUUUUGAUAAGCCCUGUAGCCAGAUACCAUUUCUGGGUUUAGAAUAGUUGAGUUCUGUGUCAAAUUUGUUUUUUGUUGUUUUGCUGUUUGCAAAUGUCCAGCCCCCCUGAAAUCUUCGCAUAUUCAAUAAAAAAUUACCCAGGGAGUUGAAAUUGGCAUUGAUUUUUAAUUUAUACAGAACUUAUUACAAAUAUAUAUCAGUGUCAAUUAAAACGUUUCAUUGCCUACAACAUAUAGGAAAUCAAAUUUCAUAAUUGCAUUUACCAUGUGGGCAGUAACACUGGUUUCAGAGUUUAAAGGUCAUUGAUAAUCAGGCUCUGAGUUUAAAUUGCAGUAUGUUUUAUUCCUCUCCCUCCUAGAUUGCAAAUGUGACAAAGAAACACGGGCACAACUUAGCAUUUUCUAAUAAAAGAAACAUUGACGCUUGCUUUCUGUUUGCCUUUCUUCUUGUGCCGCGUCCUUCGUAACUGCAAAGAUAACUUGCAGGUAAAUAUUCAGUCAGUGUUUGAACAAUGAGAACAGUAAUACCAAUUUGAGUAACAGAAUACAAAUGGGCCCUUUGGCUUUGAUUUACAGAAGUGACGUGCAUAAAAACGUCAAUUUUCAUUUAUUAUCAAGUGGGAACUUAGUGUUUUCAAAUUUGUCUGUUCUUGAUAAAAUUCCUCUUUAAUUUCAGUAGGACUCUUCCCUAAGAGUUUUCCGUCUUGCACUUCCCAUUUUCCACCCUCCUUUCAUCAUUCUCAAGUUUCUCGAUCCUGGAAUUUUGCUUCCUUCCUGGUAAGUUUAAGUAAGGGAACAUAUUCAUUUUGUUAUCAGGUUGCAGUCACUGAUCUGACCAAGUUCUGGGUUUUGUGUGUCAUUUAGUAUUAAUAUGUGUCAGUUCUUCAGGCC